GGGUUUGUAUAGUUGGAUUCGGUUUUGCAAAAACUGAUGAGGGUAUAACCCCAAACCCU
rnacentral:tRNA from 1 species